rnacentral:rRNA from 1 species
UUGCACGCUGGCGGACUGCUUUACCCAUGCAAGUCGCGCGGCAGCGCGGCCUUCGGGCUGGCGGCGAGCGGCGAACGGGUGAGUAAUGCAUCGGAACAUGCCCAGUCGUGGGGGAUAACACUUCGAAAGAAGUGCUAAUACCGCAUACGUCCUGAGGGGGAAAGCGGGGGAUCGCAAGACCUCGCGCGAUUGGAGUGGCCGAUGUCAGAUUAGCUAGUUGGUGGGGUAAAGGCCUACCAAGGCGACGAUCUGUAGCUGGUCUGAGAGGAUGAUCAGCCACAGUGUGACUGAGGCACGGCGCAGCCACGGGGGGGGGGAAGGAGGGGGGAAUGUGGGACACUGGGGACAACCCUGUGCCAGCAAGGCGGCGUGAGGGAAGACGGCUGCGGGGUUGAAACGCACGGGCGGAAGGAAAGAAAGGGUGGGCUGUACCAUAGGCAGCGAAUGACGGUAAAGGAAGAAGAAGCACCGGCGAACUAGGGGCAAGAGGCCGGGGUAAGAGA